UUCAUUUUACAAGAAUGACUUCAAUUUAAGUUAGUUUUUAUUCACCAAAAUCCAUAAUGUUCCAUGUGUCACAAUAAAACAAAGCAGACUUUGCCAGCGUGAAUCCACUUUUACUGAAGAUGAGGGUCAUUCAUGGACCUAGAGGUUACAAUAGUCAAAGUGUUCUGCACGAGAACAAACACACAGAUGUCUUUGAAAUGUGAUGCAAAAGUGCAGACUGCUGCCUCCUACUGAUGAAAAGGAAAUGAGUGAGAUGCUAUGAGUCACUAAUUGUGAACUAGUCAGUCGACAACUCCAAGAGCCCACUUCAUGCUGGUGACGAGGUCCACCAACGAUGGUCUGGCAUGUGGGGGCCUUAGUUGAAAGACAGGAGAGGUGGAUCAGAGACAGCUAGAGGAGCAGGCAUUUCCCGAGUGCUGUAAAGGGGGACUCAUCCCGCUAGGAGAAUGUCUAUUAGGGAAUUCAGACCAAGUUCUGGGAAGGAAUCCACAAGGAAGUCUCCGGGAGCAAGGAAGAAGGGGAAAGGAGAGGCAGCUGGGAAAAUGCGAGACACACACAUCCACCCCUUCCCCAAAACCCUGGCUUACACACUCGUGAGAGCCUCCCGUGGCUCAGGGAAGUCUUAGGGGGUCUUAGGAAACAUCACACAUUUCACUUUCAUCUGUCCACCAGUUAGCUACACUCGGGCUUCCAGAUCAUGAAUUUUUUUUUCUUUUUAAAGGGAGUCUUGUUCUAUAGCCCAGGCUGGAGUCCAGUGGUGUCAUCUCGGCUCACUGCAACCUCAGCCUCCCAGGUUCAAGCGAUUCUCCCACCUCAUCCUCCCGAGGAGCUGGGACUACAGGCACGCGCCACCAUGCCCAGCUAAUUUUUGUAUUUUUCGUAGAGACAGGGGUUUCACCAUGUUGGCCAGGCUUGUCUUGAACUCCUGACCUCCUGAUCUGCCCGCCUCAGCCUCCCAAAGUACUGGGAUUACAGACAUGAGCCGCCGCGCCUGGCCAACAGGUGUUUCUUAAAAGCAGAAGCAGAGAGAGGGCAGGAGAGAACAAACAGGAGGGGAGGGAUGUCUUCCGGACACUGGGCUCUCUCCUCAGGAGAGAAUGAGGCCUGAGGUGGGCACAGGGCCCUCUGGGUGUGUAACAGGCCCAGGGCAGCCUCGCCAGCCUCCAUUGCUUGUCCAUAAGCAAAGCAUAACAUUAUGUGCGGGCAGAUCACCUGAGGUCAGGAGUUCGAGACCAGCCUGGCCAACAUGGCGAAACCCCGUCUCUACUAAAAUGCAAAAAUUAGCUGGGCGUGGUGGCACACAUCUGUAAUCCCAGCUACUCGGGAGGCUGAGACUGGAUAAUCGCUUGAACCCGGGAGGCAGAGGUUGCAGUGAGCUGGGAUUGCGCCACUGCACUCCAGCCUGGGAAACAAGAGUGAAACUCUGUCUCAAAAAUAAUAAUAAUAAUAAAAAUAAAUAAAGAAAUAAAAUCAAUCACCGGGUAAAUCCCCAUGGGGAUGCACUGCAGAGGAACCUGGGUGUUGGCGUGGCUCCGAAGAGGACCGAGCUAGGUGUAGCUGGAAGGGUCAACAAGAGGAAGGCAUGAAGGGUCGAUGUCAGCAGAAAUACAACCUGGACAAUCACCCUGGUGGCUGUGGUAUGGAUUGCGUGUCUAUUUUAUUUAUUUUGUUUUGAGACAGAGUCUCACUCUGUCGUCCAGGCUGGAGUGCAAAAGCAUGAUCUUGGCUCAUUGCAACCUCCACCUCCCAGGUUCAAGCGAUUCUCCUGCCUCAGCUGGGAUUGCAAGCCUGUGCCAAGCCCGGUUGUGUGUUUUCUCUGUUGGAGGCCCGCCCGGCAUGCGCAGGACCCUCUUUAAGGCCUUCCACCUCUGCUCCUACAUCUUCCACCGGGUUUGUUACAAAUAGUCCCAGAUCUAUUGUACAUCUUCUCAUACUUUUUGCUAUUGAAACUUCUUACAAAGUUUUCUCACCUGCCAGAGGGCAGAGAAACAAAUUGUCAUGAAUGUUCUAGGACCUAGAACAGAGCUUGAGGCAGGGAAAGUAUUCACAAUGUUGUUGGCUGCAGUCAGGAAUAAUAAAUCAAUGUUGAGUGGAUAAACUAAUGAAUAGUUUUGUUUGGUUUUAUGCCAAAAAAUAGUAAUCUCCUGGGUAGCCGGGUACAGUGGCUCAUACCUGUAAUCUCAAUGCUUUGGGAGGCCGAGGUGGGAGGAUCCCUUGAGCUCAGGAGUUCAAGACCAGACUGGACAACAUGGUGAAACCACAUGGCUGCAAAACAUCCAAAAAUUAACCAGGCAUGGUGGUGCGCAUCUGUUUUCUCAGCUACUCAGCCUACUUGGGGAGGCUGAGGCGGAAGAAUCACCUGAACCUGCACUCCAGCCUGGUUGACAAAACAAGAUCCUGUCUCAAAAAAAAAAAAAAAAAAAAAAAAGAAGUGAUCUCCCAUCACCCUCAAAGAAUUCCAGAUAAGAGCAACAGGUCAGCCCGAUCACACUCCUCCAGGUAUCUUUGAGUCUCAGGGCGGUGGUUGCCAUGCUUGAGGGAGGGACGAGGAAGCUGGUUGUUUUCACCACCAGUAAGACCCUGGGAGGCCUGCCGUGGCUUUGAUUGCAGUUCCGACAGAUCCUUCCUUCCCAGCUGGUGCACACCCAACGCACCCCUGCAGAGAGAGCCAAGGAUCCCCCCACAGGCAUGUUUGUGGAGGAGCGUGCACAGUCCUAACGGGUGGCCUGUGGACUCCUGCAGGUCGGCUCCCAGAAAAUCCCAGUCUUACAACCAUGAAAAGGAAGUAGGAUUCACAUACUGUAAACGGUAGGCAGGCCCUUGGUAAUGCUGGGGCUGCUAAGUUUUGAAAACCUAAGAGUUUUAUUUUCUAAAGCAGAAUACAUUCCAUUAACUUGACAUCCUUUAAAAAGUUAUUAAGGCCGGGCAUGGUGGCUCACGCCUGUAAUCCCAGCACUUUGGGAGGCCGAGGCGGGCGGAUCAUGAGGUCAGGAGAUCGAGACCAUCCUGGCUAACACAGUGAAACCCCGUCUCUACUAAAAAAUACAAAAAAAAUUACCCGGUCAUGGGUGGCAGGCGCCUGUAGUGCCAGCUACUCGGGAGGCUGAGGCAAGAGAAUGGCGGGAACCGGGGAGGCGGAGCUUGCAGUGAGCUGAGAUUGCGCCAUUGCACUCCAGCCUGGGCGACAGAGGGAGACUCUGUCUCAAAAAAAAAAAAAAAAAAAAAAAAAUAGCUGGGCGUGGUGACACGUGCCUGUAGUCCCAGCUACUCAGGAGGUUGAGGCAGAAUUGCUUGAAUCUGGGAGGCAGAGGUUGCAGUGAGCUGAGACCGUGCCAUUGCACUCCAGCCUGGGUGACAGAGCGAGACUCCACCUAAAAAAAAAAAAAAAGAAAAAAAAGGUUAUUCCAUGGAGGUAUUUUAAUUAUGCAAUAAAAGGCAGAAGCGACUUUACUGCUACAACUCCCAGAGCAAUUGUUUGCAUGUAGGUUUUUUUCCAGUCUCCAAGGGGUCUUGAUUUUCGAAGCCACUAUCACCCCAGCAAACACCUGUGAAGCUGAAGGCAUCUCUUUCCGCUGUUCUCUCCCAUGCACUGCCCUUGAUCAGCCUUCAAAAUCCAGGGUCCUUGGGGUCACCGGGCUCUGGAAGGGAGCCCACAGGUUGAUCUCUCCAGUUCCACUUACCUCUCCCCCUCGUAUCGUAGUAUUUGCUGCCUCUCCCUUUCCCACAAAACCUGCAAGUUUCUUAAGACUGGGGGUGGGCUUUUUUUCAUCAUUGUAUCCCAUUCCCACUGCAUGGCAUUCCACGGUAUGUGUCCCAUUAAUCUCAAAUGAAAAGCAUUCUUCUUCUUUCCCCACAGAGGCCAGUUUAGGAAACAGGAGCCCUGGCAUUGUCAUGCCCUUGGGGGAAUUGUGGAUAAGGACUGGGUUAAGGAUGAAAUGACUUUUUUCACUUUUGUGAUCUCUGUAGGCUUCCCAGGGGUGCUGAGCACUAGUGCUGAGUGCAGAGAUGAGCGAUGCCGGAGACCAUCAUCUCCUCCACCUAACUCGGCUUCCCAGGGGUGCUGAGCACUAGUGCUGAGUGCAGAGAUGAGCGAUGCCGGAGACCAUCAUCUCCUCCACCUAACUCGGCUUCCCAGGGGUGCUGAGCACUAGUGGUGAGUGCAGAGAUGAGCGAUGCCGGAGACCAUCAUCUCCUCCACCUAACUCGGCUUCCCAGGGGUGCUGAGCACUAGUGGUGAGUGCAGAGAUGAGCGAUGCCGGAGACCAUCAUCUCCUCCACCUAACUCGGCUUCCCAGGGGUGCUGAGCACUAGUGGUGAGUGCAGAGAUGAGCGAUGCCGGAGACCAUCAUCUCCUUCACCUAACUCGGCUUCCCAGGGGUGCUGAGCACUAGUGAGAUGUGGUCUCACCAUAUUGGCUUGGCCAGGUUGGCCUUGAACUCCUGGCCUCAAGCAUUCCUCCUGCCUCGGCCUCUCAAAAUGCUAGGAUUUACAGGCAUAAGCCACUGCACCUGCUUUUUUUUUUUUUUUCUCAAGAGACACAGCCUCACUAUGUUGCCUCAAACUCCCGGGCUCAAGUGAUCCUCCCACUUCAGCCUCCCAAGUAGCUGGCAUUUUAAGCAUACACCACUGCUCGGAGCUAAUUACUGUAGCUUUGUAGCAGGUUUUGAAAUCAAGAAACACGAGGCUUUCAAUUGUAUCCUUCUUUUUCAAGAACGACAGUUAUUUGGGUCCAACUACAUAACUUUUGAAAGACUCAGAAACUGGCAGAGCUAAGCCAGACCAACAAGCAAGUUUUCAACAUCAAACUUCCUUUGCUUUUAAUGCUUUUUAGUGAUUUUAAGGAGUGUGAAGGUUAAUUUUAUGUAUUUCUGGGUGUGUCUGUGAGGGCAUAUGCAGAAGAGAUUAGCAUUUGGGUUGGUUGACGGGCUAACGAAACUCCACCCUCAGUAUCGAGGGUGGGCAUCAUCUCACCGGUUGAGGGCCCACACAGAAGAACAAAAAGGGUUGAGAAGCGCCAAUUUGCCUUUUUACCUCAAGCUGUGACUUCCCUUGUGCCCUGGACAUUGAGCUCCUCCUGGUUCUUAGCCCUUUGGCCUCAGAAUGAAUGACUGUACUGGCAUUCCUGGUUUUCCAGCUUGCAGACGGGAGACAUCUCAGCCUCCAUAAUCAUGUGAACCAAUUCUUUAAUAAGUCUCCUCUUUUAUAUCUUUUAUAUAGCUUAUUGGUUCUGUUUCUCUGGGGAACCCCAACUAAUAUAGUGAGGUAUUCAUUCAUUCCCUUAAAAAAUAAUUCGGGUCUUCCCCACUCAAGAUGGAAUGAAACGGACUGAAUUUAACCCAAUUUCUAAAAAAACUAGACAGAACACAUGAAAAAAUCACUGUCAUGACUUUAGACAUCAGACAGCAAGGAACAUUGAUGUCUGAGAGACAGUAAACAAGUGGUACCUUCGGGGCUGAUGCCUAUCUUCAUUAUCUUUUUUUGAGACAGUCUCGCUCUGCCGCCCAGGCUGGAGUGCAGUGGCACAAUCUCGGCUCACUGCAACCUCCGCCUCCUGGGUUCCAGCGAGCAUAUCCAGCUUAUUUGUUGUAUUUUUAGUAGAGACGGGGUUUCACCAUGUUGGCCAGGCUGGUCUCGAACUCCUAUACUCAAGUGAUCUGCCCACCUCGGCCUCUCCCUCAGUGCUGGGAUUACAGGCAUGAGCCAACAUCCGGCUGUAAGUUUAUUAUCUUGAUUGGAGUGGUAAGUAGUUUCAUGGGUGUAUACAUAUGCUAAAAUGUAUCAAAUUGUAAGUUUUAGAUAUGUGUGGCUUGUUGCAUCUCAUUUAUGCCUCAGUAAAGCUGUUAAAAAAUUAGAAAUACUCUAGAUAUUAUGAAGAAAGAGAGAAGCCUGCAGCACCAACCAGGCAGAAAUAUAAUAGCUACAAGUGGUCCUAACUGGGGAGGAAGGGAAGUUUACCUUUGUAUCCUUUACCAUGUAUCCUUUUAUCAAUAAGAGGAAAAUUGAUUAAUAUAUUAGAUUGAAUCAAGACUUUAUUUUUUUUAGACAGUCUCUCUGUGUUGCCCAGGCUCGAUGGAGUGCAGCGGCAGGACCUCGGUUCACUGCAACCUCGACCUCCAGGCUCAGGUGAUUGAUUUCCCACCUCAGCCUCCCUAGUAGCUGGGAUUACAGGUGUGCACCACCAUGCCUGGCUAAUUUUUGUAUUUUUAGUAGAGAUGGGGUUUGCCAUGUUGCCCAGGCUAGUCUCGAACUCCUGGACUCAAGUGAUCCACCUGCCUCAGCCUCCCAAAGCGCUGGGAUUACAGGCAUGAGCCACCAGGCCUGGCCAACUUAACUGAAAGUGACUUCAGGACAUCAAUAUCUAAAAGUCAUCAGCAAAAUAAUGGGAUUUUUGUGAGUUUUCAUCCUGGAAAGGAAGGACACCCACUGAAGG
rnacentral:lncRNA from 1 species